rnacentral:rRNA from 1 species
AGUGAACGCUGGCGGUAGGCCUAACACAUGCAAGUCGAACGGCAGCACAGGAGAGCUUGCUCUCUGGGUGGCGAGUGGCGGACGGGUGAGGAAUACAUCGGAAUCUGCCCAGUCGUGGGGGAUAACGUAGGGAAACUUACGCUAAUACCGCAUACGACCUUCGGGUGAAAGAGGGGGGUCGCAAGACCUCUCGCGAUUGGGUGAGCCGAGGUCGGAUUAGCUAGUUGGCGGGGUAAUGGCCCACCAAGGCGACGAUCCGUAGCUGGUCUGAGAGGAUGAUCAGCCACACUGGAACUGAGACACGGUCCAGACUCCUACGGGAGGCAGCAGUGGGGAAUAUUGGACAAUGGGCGCAAGCCUGAUCCAGCCAUACCGCGUGGGUGAAGAAGGCCUUCGGGUUGUAAAGCCCUUUUGUUGGGAAAGAAAUCUUUCAGGCUAAUACCCUGGGAGGAUGACGGUACCCAAAGAAUAAGCACCGGCUAACUUCGUG